rnacentral:lncRNA from 1 species
GGGAGGGGGGUCUGGGGGUGGGGGGGAGUCGCCGUCGCGUGCCGCGCUGGGGUCGGGUGUGUGUGCGUGUGCGUGUGUGUGGUGAGGGGGAGGGGUGGCAUCAUCCCACGCGCGCGCACACACCACCCCCCCGCCGAGGCCGAUGCCUCUCGCUCCCGCCUUCCUGGGCGGCCGCCGCCGCCGCUGCCUCUGCUGCCCGUGGCCGUUACAGCGAGCGCUGCAGGGGCCGCGCCGACUCCGCCGCUGCCGGCCGCUACCGCCCCCCGCGGGCCGGGCCGCGGAGCGCAGGGCGCCGUCACCGCCUCCGCCGGGGCCCUCCUGCCGCCCCGCCUCCGUGUACCCCGGGAGCCAGCAAAGCCCCGGGCCGUCCUCCGGUGUCUGGGCAUCCUCCUCCCGGGCCUGCCAGCGCAGCGCCGGCCUCCUUCCUAACGCUUGACUAUGAAGGGGUACCAUGAGCGCCAUUGUCAUCCAUGCUGGCACAAAGACACGAAGGUAGGAAAUGGAGCAUAUGUGAGGACCAGAAGGUAGCCAUUCUGGCUGGAUCAUGGAGUGAAUAGAAGGGAAUAAUGUGUAAGAAGUCUGGAAAGGUCAGACAGAAACUAGUUGUGAAGAGCUAAAAAUGCUAAAUGUAGGAGUUUAUAUAUGAUCUUUGACAUAAUAAGAAUUUUUCCCAGGUAGGUAAUGGGGACAUGACCAGACAGACCUGUGCUUUAAGAACAUAAUUUUAACAGCUACACAGAGGAUGGAUUGAAAUGGGGAGUGACUUAAAGCAGGUAUACCAAUUAAAAGCUACUACUGGGGCAGUUAGGGGACACAGUGGAUAGAGCACAGGCACUGCAGUCAGAAGGACCUGAGUUCAAAUCUGACCUUAGAUGCUUAGUAGCUGUGUGACUCUGAGUAGCUCACUUAACCCGAAUUGCCUCAAAAAAAAAAAAAAAAGAGACUGUUACAGUAUUUCCAAGCAAGAGGUGAGGAGGGCCUGAACUAGGUUAGGGUUGUGUGAGUAAAAAGGAAAUGAAUGUGAUAGAUAUUGUGGAGAAAGAAAUUAUAAAAUCUGACAACUGAUUAAAUAAAUGGAAUAAAUGAGAAUGAGGAAAGGUUACA